rnacentral:rRNA from 1 species
AGUGAACGCUGGCGGUAGGCCUAACACAUGCAAGUCGAACGGCAGCACAGUAAGAGCUUGCUCUUACGGGUGGCGAGUGGCGGACGGGUGAGGAAUACAUCGGAAUCUACUUUUUCUUGGGGGAUAACGUAGGGAAACUUACGCUAAUACCGCAUACGACCUACUGGUUUAUUCAGUGGAUCUUCGGACCUUGCUCGUUUUAAUUCGCCGCUGUCGGAUUAGCUAGUUGGCGGGGUAAAGGCCCACCAAGGCGACGAUCCGUAGCUGGUCUGAGAGGAUGAUCAGCCACACUGGAACUGAGAAACGGUCCAGACUCCUACGGGAGGCAGAAGUGGGGAAUAUUGGACAAGGGGCGCAAGCCUGAUCCAGACAUACCGCGUGGGUGAAGAAGGCCUUCGGGUGGAAAAGCCCUUUUGUUGGGAAAGAAAAGCAGCAGGUUAAUAACCCGAUGUUCUGACGGUACCCAAAGAAUAAGCACCGGCUAACUUCGUG